GCCUGGGUGGCUUAGUCGGUAAGUGUCUGACUUCAGCUCAGGUCAUGAUCUCGCGGUUUGUGAGUUCGAGCCCUGCAUCAGGCU
rnacentral:tRNA from 1 species